rnacentral:lncRNA from 1 species
AUAUUCUAUUUGUUUCUUGACUUUUAAUUCUCAUUUUGCUUUUCUUUUCUAUUGUUUGACCUUGAUCUUCUCUAUCUUUGGUCAAUGCUUGUUGAUUAAUACAUACCAUUUCCAUUAAUGCACUUUAAUUCUUCUUCUUCUCCUUCUUUUUCUUUUUUUUGAUGAAUGAGUUAAAGAUUGGUGGUUAGCAUUGAUUAUGGGGGUUUAAUAUUCC